rnacentral:rRNA from 1 species
GUCUGCGCUUCCAUUAGCUACUUGGUGGGGUAACGGCCUACCAAGGCAACGAUGGGUAGCCGAUCUGAGAGGAUGAUCGGCCACACUGGAACUGAAACACGGUCCAGACUCCUACGGGAGGCAGCAGUGGGGAAUAUUGCGCAAUGGGCGAAAGCCUGACGCAGCGACGCCGCGUGAGGGAUGAAGGUCUUCGGAUCGUAAACCUCUGUCAGAAGGGAAGAAACUAGGGUGCUCUAAUCAUCAUCCUACUGACGGUACCUUCAAAGGAAGCACCGGCUAACUCCGUGCCAGCAGCCGCGGUAAUACGGAGGGUGCAAGCGUUAAUCGGAAUCACUGGGCGUAAAGCGCACGUAGGCUGUUAUGUAAGUCAGGGGUGAAAUCCCACGGCUCAACCGUGGAACUGCCCUUGAUACUGCACGACUUGAAUCCGGGAGAGGGUAGCGGAAUUCCAGGUGUAGGAGUGAAAUCCGUAGAUAUCUGGAGGAACAUCAGUGGCGAAGGCGGCCACCUGGACCGGUAUUGACGCUAAGGUGCGAAAGCGUAGGGAGCAAACAGGAUUAGAUACCAUGGUAGUCCACGCCGUAAACGAUG